GCGGACGGCUGAGUAACACGUAGGAACGUACCCCAAAGUGAGGGAUAAGCACCAGAAAUGGUGUCUAAUACCGCAUGUGGCCCUCGGGCUAAAGUAUUUAUACGCUUUGGGAACGGCCUGCGCAUGAUUAGCUUGUUGGUGAGGUAAUGGCUCACCAAGGCGACGAUCAUUAGCUGGUCUGAGAGGAUGAUCAGCCAGACUGGGACUGAGAACGGCCCAGACUCCUACGGGAGGCAGCAGUAGGGAAUUUUCCACAAUGGGCGAAAGCCUGAUGGAGCAACGCCGCGUGCAGGAUGAAUGCCUUCGGGUUGUAAACUGCUUUUAUAUGUGACGAAUAUGACGGUAGCAUAUGAAUAAGGAUCGGCUAACUCCGUGCCAGCAGCCGCGGUCAUACGGAGGAUCCAAGCGUUAUCCGGAAUUACUGGGCGUAAAGAGUUGCGUAGGUGGCAUAGUAAGCAGGUAGUGAAAUGGUGUGGCUCAACCACAUCUCCAUUAUUUGAACUACUAAGCUUGAGGACGAGAGAGGUACCUGGAAUUCUCAGUGUAGGAGUGAAAUCCGUAGAUAUUGGGAAGAACACCGAUGGCGUAGGCAGGGUACUGGCUUGUUCCUGACACUAAGGCACGAAAGCGUAGGGAGUGACCCGGAUUAGAUACCCGGUUAAUCUACGCCGUAAACGAUGGAUGCUAGCUGUUAGAGGUAUCGACCCCCCUAGUAGCGAAGCUAACGCGUUAAGCAUCCCGCCUGUGGAGUACGGUCGCAAGACUAAAACAUAAAGGAAUUGACGGGGACCCGCAC
rnacentral:rRNA from 1 species